rnacentral:rRNA from 1 species
GAUGAACGCUGGCGGCGUGCCUAAUACAUGCAAGUCGAGCGAACGGACGAGAAGCUUGCUUCUCUGAUGUUAGCGGCGGGCGGGUGAGUAACACGUGGAUAACCUACCUAUAAGACUGGGAUAACUUCGGGAAACCGGAGCUAAUACCGGAUAAUAUUUUGAACCGCAUGGUUCAAAAGUGAAAGACGGUCUUGCUGUCACUUAUAGAUGGAUCCGCGCUGCAUUAGCUAGUUGGUAAGGUAACGGCUUACCAAGGCAACGAUGCAUAGCCGACCUGAGAGGGUGAUCGGCCACACUGGAACUGAGACACGGUCCAGACUCCUACGGGAGGCAGCAGUAGGGAAUCUUCCGCAAAGGGCGAAAGCCUGACGGAGCAACGCCGCGUGAGUGAUGAAGGUCUUCGGAUCGUAAAACUCUGUUAUUAGGGAAGAACAUAUGUGUAAGUAACUGUGCACAUCUUGACGGUACCUAAUCAGAAAGCCACGGCUAACUACGUG